GCAUGGAGCAGUGUGAAAAACUCCGGUGGUGUGAGAUGGACCCGCGUCUGAUUAGCCAGUUGGCGGGGUAACGGCCCACCAAAGCGACGAUCAGUAGCCGGCCUGAGAGGGUGAACGGCCACAUUGGGACUGAGACACGGCCCAAACUCCUACGGGAGGCAGCAGUGGGGAAUAUUGCACAAUGGGGGAAACCCUGAUGCAGCGACGCCGCGUGAGUGAAGAAGUAUUUCGGUAUGUAAAGCUCUAUCAGCAGGGAAGAAAGUGACGGUACCUGAAUAAGAAGCCCCGGCUAACUACGUGCCAGCAGCCGCGGUAAUACGUAGGGGGCAAGCGUUAUCCGGAUUUACUGGGUGUAAAGGGAGUGUAGACGGCAAGGCAAGUCUGAAGUGAAAGCCCGGUGCUCAACGCCGGGACUGCUUUGGAAACUGUUUAGCUAGAGUGCCGGAGAGGUAAGCGGAAUUCCUAGUGUAGCGGUGAAAUGCGUAGAUAUUAGGAAGAACACCAGUGGCGAAGGCGGCUUACUGGACGGUAACUGACGUUGAGGCUCGAAAGCGUGGGGAGCAAACAGGAUUAGAUACCCUGGUAGUCCACGCCGUAAACGAUGAUUGCUAGGUGUAGGUGGGUAUGGACCCAUCGGUGCCG
rnacentral:rRNA from 1 species